UACGUAGGUGGCAAGCGUUGUCCGGAGUUAUUGGGCGUAAAGCGCGCGCAGGCGGUGCGGUAAGUCUCUGGUGAAAGCGCUCGGCUUAACUGGGCGAGGGCCGGGGAGACUGCCACGCUGGAGGGGAGCAGAGGCGAGUGGAAUUCCGGGUGUAGUGGUGAAAUGCGUAGAGAUCCGGAGGAACACCAGUGGCGAAGGCGGCUCGCUGGGCUCUACCUGACGCUGAGGCGCGAAAGCGUGGGGAGCAAAAGGG
rnacentral:rRNA from 1 species